UCGAACGGCAGCGCGGGGCAACCUGGCGGCGAGUGGCGAACGGGUGAGUAAUAUAUNGGAANGUGCCCUGGAGUGGGGGAUAACGCAGCGAAAGUUGCGCUAAUACCGCAUACGAUCUAAGGAUGAAAGCGGAGGAUUCGCAAGAACCUCGUGCUCCUGGAGCGGCCGAUAUCUGAUUAGCUAGUUGGUGGGGUAAAGGCCUACCAAGGCAUCGAUCAGUAGCUGGUCUGAGAGGACGACCAGCCACACUGGAACUGAGACACGGUCCAGACUCCUACGGGAGGCAGCAGUGGGGAAUUUUGGACAAUGGGCGAAAGCCUGAUCCAGCAAUGCCGCGUGAGUGAAGAAGGCCUUCGGGUUGUAAAGCUCUUUUGUCAGGGAAGAAACGGUGAAGGCUAAUAUCCUUUGCUAAUGACGGUACCUGAAGAAUAAGCACCGGCUAACUACGUGCCAGCAGCCGCGGUAAUACGUAGGGUGCAAGCGUUAAUCGGAAUUACUGGGCGUAAAGCGUGCGCAGGCGGUUUUGUAAGUCUGUCGUGAAAUCCCCGGGCUCAACCUGGGAAUUGCGAUGGAGACUGCAAGGCUAGAAUCUGGCAGAGGGGGGUAGAAUUCCACGUGUAGCAGUGAAAUGCGUAGAGAUGUGGAGGAACACCGAUGGCGAAGGCAGCCCCCUGGGUCAAGAUUGACGCUCAUGCACGANAGCGUGGGGAGCAAACAGGAUUAGAUACCCUGGUAGUCCACGCCCUAAACGAUGUCUACUAGUUGUCGGGUUUUAAUUAACUUGGUAACGCAGCUAACGCGUGAAGUAGACCGCCUGGGGAGUACGGUCGCAAGAUUAAAACUCAAAGGAAUUGACGGGGACCCGCACAAGCGGUGNAUGAUGUGGAUUAAUUCNAUGCAACGCGAAAAANCUUACCUACCCUUGACAUGUACGGAANCCACGAGAGAUCGAGGUGUGCUCGAAAGAGANCCGUAACACAGGUGCUGCAUGGCUGUCGUCAGCUC
rnacentral:rRNA from 1 species